UAUUAUUUUUUUUCUUUCAAAGUUUCAAAAUGAGAGAGUAGGUUUCCUUCUCUUUAAAAGACCUAACUCAUUUCUUCACUUCUUCAGAGAUUAGGUUUGUUCCUCUAAGAUACCUAAUUUAUUCAGAGGAAGAAAAGAAGGGUGAAGAAGAAGAGCAGAAAGCGCAUGUUCUUCAGGUGUUCUUCAGGUAUGGGGAGAAUGUAAGAGGUGGCACAGUUGGUUGAUUGAACAUGUUCGAAGUAUCGAGACUUUUGCAACCGUAAUUUUUGAUGGAAGCAAUGAGACAAACAGUAUAAUCUCUUAUAUCGUAUUGUCAAGGAAUUUGAAAUGGAUCAGGCUCUUGAUCGCAAGGAAGGAGAAGCUGAAGCCAUUUUUGAAGAAUUGAUAAGUGAAGAAAGUAUGGAUGAACAUAACUCUUCACUAAUUCAAUUUCACAUUAAACUUUUGGCAUUGAUCCUAAGUGAUUCGGAAAAAGAGUCUCGAUUCUCACUUACGAAGAGUGAAACUAAUUCAUGGUUAAAACAUUUGGAGGGUUUAAUGAUGCAAUGGCAUAUUUUCCAAAUGUUUUUCCUGUGAAUUGAUUUCAAAAGGGCAUAAGUGGAUAUUGUAAGUUGGAUUUGUCUAAAAGGUUUAGACUAAUGACUUUUCUCCGUGAGGAAGCCUUUGAACACAGAGAAACUGAGAAGAUAUAUUCAAGAUGAAAAUUCAAGACAAGCAAAAGUAGUAAAAGAAGUGAAACUUAAGAUUGAUGCAACUAAGGAAACGAUAAUAUACAACAAGGUGUUAUGAUGCUCUUUGUAUAUGGAUUAUCCUUGCUGUUACAGUGUGUUCAUAACAAAUGUGUGUGCAUGAUAUAUACAGGUAAAGAUAUAAGAACCCAGGUUGAUGAAGCACACACGGAUAUGCUAAGGUUAAAGAGCACAAAUCAAAAAGGUAUGUCAUGAUUAAUGGAUUAUGAGUUAUGCAUCAUUCAUGUUAUCUAGGCUAAGCCGCAUGCUUCCUUUCUACCUUGGUUGCAGGACCAAAAGAUGUAAGUGCUCUCAAACAAGUUUGUAGGAGUUUAUGUUUUAUGUUAAUUGUUCUUAAUAGAAUGAUGCUUGCCAAAACCCUCACUGCAUCAUGGUUUUGGUGGAUAUCUCUAUGUGGUGGUUGUUCCUCAUUUGUUUUUGGAUACAAGGGACCUUAAUUAUUGUUAUCAUUGUAUAUAUAUUUUUUGUAUUUUAUUUUAGUGAAAUACGAAAUGAAAUUAAUUUUUUAAUUUAAUUACUAUUAUGGUUGUAUUUUUAAUUUGGUAAAUGUACAGUGAUAUACUAUUCAUGGUAUUAUUCAUGGAAAAGUGAUGUAUGUAUUCUGAAUA